CGAAGGCGAGAAGACGCCCUCGCUGAACCAAACAGCUCUCUAUCGUAAAAAAAAGAAGCUCGAUGAAUUUUACAAAACAAGCUCUGUUCCGCCGGUCUAUUAAUCAUUCUGGUUAAUGACUGGAAUAUUGAACGAGCUACAGUUUUCACGCUUCGAGCACCGAUGUUCUUCGUUAACGUACACGACGGGGAUCUUCGUCGGCGCAGUCGUCUUCAUCUUCGUCGCCGUUGUCGUCGUCGUCGUCGUCAUUGGACUUUUCCCCUCGGUGGAAGGCAGUGACGCGUAUGUACGUGUGUACGUAUACCGUCCGGCAACACACAUGCCUCGGGAGUAAUGGAUGUGUUACACGGCCGAGGAUUCAGAGAAACACGGACACGUACGGGACGACACGUAUGGGAGGGACGGGCGGACGGACAGACGAAUGGGAGACUGUUACACCCAAUUGUCCCUCGUUGCGCAGGGGUCAAGUAAGGUAGCCAACCGGCCACGCCGGAUACCGUGGUCGCCUGUGGCUUCACGGAUAACGGCGACGUUACUCCAUAAUCGUACUACAUUUUAAUCUUAACUUCCCAAAUUUUCAUGUUACCGCGUGUGACGGAAGCUUUUCACGACUCCUAAUCUCGAGCGCGUUUAACGACGGAGUAAUUUCCCAUUCAAUUCUAAUAAGCGGCAAUAAAACUAAAAUGACUCCAGGUAGACGAGAGGAAAAAAAUGACAUUUCUGAUCCCGAUAUUUACGACUGCAAGGAAAAUUAUAUAUAAGACGAAAUACGAGAUAAAUUAUGAAAUAAUUUCCAGUAUAUCUUCACGGAGUAGAUAAAUUAAAGGGAGAUUGCAAUUUCAAUUUUUUUUUUUUCAAACGGGAGUUAGACGGAGUGUCAUUUCUAAUCACAGAGGAUAAAUAAUUCGUUCGCCUCUCAUCGAUUUACGUUUGCGCUUUUACAUCGUCUUUGGACGAUGCGCAAAGCGCAACGAAGACUUGGCAAAGUUGCACGUCUUUCCUGUCGACGCCACUGGAUUCGUCCGCCGCCGCUCGCCGCCGUCGCCGCCAUCGUCGUCAUCGUCUUUUUAUUUCUUCUUCUUUUUUGGGGGCGCACACGUGUGAGGUUAUCCCGUUGACGGUGACCCCGUCGUCCUCCUACCGACGCGUCUCCUCCUCCUCCUCCUCCUCCUCCUCCUCUUACUUCGCAUUUGCUUUCCAGAUCAGAAGAGCUCCUCCAACGAUCGGCUCUCCGCCGGUCUCCCCCUGACGCAACCUGGACUUCGCCACUUUGGAAACGUAUGCCGGUGACGUCAUGCGACGUCCUCUCGUCUCCUCCUUCUCUCGGCUGCCUUAUAUAUCGACGAAUGCUUUCUUCGUCGAAUCUACUUCUCCUGCAAUCGCACGAUCACGCGUAUCCUUGGAGGGCGAAAAAUCAGCCGAGGAAUCUGACUUUUCCUCGACACGCAUCUCGAUGCGAUCUUCCGACAAACACGAAUGCAACUCACCUCGCGGAUCUCGCAAUCUCUUCAAGAUGCCGCAAGGCCAAUCUCAUUUCGCGACGGUGAUGAACCUCGAGGCGUCGAGGUUUGGCGCUUAUUGCGUCAACUGUGACGAUUCAAUUUUGCCGUUCAAAGACAAAAAUAGAGAUUGUCUCGCGAUCGUCCGCGCGAUCCAUCACUUCGAUGAACGAUGAUCAGCGACGACGUUUUGUGAUAAUGGCGAGAGGACUGUAAACAUUCUGGGAUGAUGACACAGUGCGGGCGAAUUAAACGGUAAAAGUACACCAGGGGAAAAAAAUAAAAGCACGCCGAAGAAGGGCGUAGCGUUGGUAAUUGCCGGCGGCCUUGAGAUCCGUUCACCAUAGGAGCCUACGUAUAUUUAUGCGACGCCAGAUUUGGUAGGCAAAUGAGUCGAAAUUGAGAGUCGCCCGGUAUACCGUCCAAGAGAAAGAGAGAGAGAGACCGAGAAGAGGGAGAGAAGAAUCGGCGACAGGCGAAUCGCGACGGUAGGUGUUUUGCCCCGGUUAAAACACAUAGCGGAGAGAUCACCGGUAGGCCACAAUCAUUUCCCCAUUAUCCAAAGAGCUACCCAGAAGAGGCAACUAAAUCGACCACUCGAGCGAGCGUUCUCGGCGAGCAAUCAUCCUAACGGGCCCAAUUCGGUCCUCCUUUUGCGUCGCGGUCGGUGCGGCCGGCCGUGUUCCGGGUCCCCGACGAGCUUGACCUUUUCUUUAUUCCCAUUGCGUAGUUUAAUUGCUAUAAGUUUUCCUUGAUUUAUCACGAAUUAUUUUCGUAUUUCUGAAUCUAACUGACGAAAUACAUUUCGUAACAAAUUACACUUUCUUACUGCGCGCUGAAAACUUCUACAUUAAAAAGACAAAUAAAUAUCGUUAUCUAUUCGAUAAUUUUUCUAAUUCUCGAUUAUAAUGUUAUGAUAACUCAGCGCAAAUUGGAAUCUACUAUGAUCGAGUAUAAUGAUCAUGUUUUCUCUCGCACUUCCCGCAUCGCUCUAUCACCAGUGUUUUCAUUGAGAAAACAAAAAUAUUAUUAAUUUUUAUAUAUGCAUUACACUAGAAAAAGACAUUAAAUUCAUUUUCAAGUUAUGUUAUGAAUGAUUACAUUUAUUUCUUGUGGAAAGUCGAUUACUUUAGAAAUGUCGCGGAGGAAAACAGGACAGACAAUGCCGCUCUACAGGGGCAAUCUCGAAAGAAGACUUUCCCGUCUUUCUGGUUCGUGAGGUUCGUGAAUCUCUCUCGUUAGUCUCGCGCGGCUUCGACGAGUAAUUCAGCAUCUUCACUUGUCCAGAGAGACAAAAGACAAUCGCCUCGAACGAUCUCGCGGCGGUGUCCGAUCUCGCUGCCGCCGCCGUGCCGGUUGCCGUUGACGUUGAUUGGUUGGACACCGGCUACUGGUCCCGGUUGACCCCUAACCCCGGCAACUCGCUCGCCUUUAUCGUCUGGAAUUGCUGUGUUGGUGGCGAGUUGGUACAACACAACGCAGCCUCCUCCCCCUCGCGCGCGCGCGCGCGCGCGCGCGCCCGCGGUGGCCUCAUCGUCUCCGCUCUCGCUCGUUGUUGUACACGCGCGCGUAACCGUGUACUACACGCAUCUCUCGUGGAUGCCGCGCCGGGCGGCUGCACGGUGGGAGCGGAAUUCUGUGCGGAGCGACAAACAAUUGCCGCCAAGUGGCUUAAUUGCAGCCAACUAAACAAAUGUUUCCAACCGUAUCUGCCCGCCGAGAGAACGGCGCUCGCGAAGAGAGCGUGUGGCCCUCUCUCUCCUCUUUUCUCUCUUCUCGCACCGCGGCAAUUCCUUCUCUUUUAUAUAUAGUUCUGAUUCCAGAUGCCUCCCCUUCCCUCCUCGGAAGAGGGAGAGAGCUUAUCGUUCCGGAGUCCUACCGGGGCUCAACUGAAGAGGAGAUCUCUCCGUCCUCUUUCCUCUCUUCUUCGUCCCGACCACGUCAUACGUUCCCGCGUACGAAGUGAAUGCGUGCGCGGGAAUCGAGGCGCGGUUCGCGCUCGUUGUGUUAACGAGAUGUGACCUCGACGACGAGCGUUGAGAAACAGAAGUCUCAUCUCCGAGAUCAUCGUGGAGAUCGCAACGAGGUAGUCGGAGAGGCGGAAUCGUUAGCGCACGACGCACAUCCAGGGGGAUCUUAAACGACGCGGCUGCUCUUAGCUCUGUUUUAAUACCCUCCGCUCCUUCCGCUCGCUUCUGUCCUCGUCCUCGCGCUUCAUGCCUGGAAGACGUCGGGAUCGUUUCUCAUUCGCCGCAGUCGUCGUAGGUGUAUAUACGGCCGGCCGGUUGCACGCGCGGCGAGAUUCCCAUUUAUCAGGGUACAUCCGCCGGAAGUGGGGCGGCCCCCGUGCGUAGGUGAGACGGAGAAGAAGCGAGAAAGAGAAAGAGGAACGCGUAGUGUCUGCUGGAGAAGCGGGAGGACCGGGGAUCUUUGUUUAUUAAUACCUGCGACAUCAUCGGAGUCCUUGGACGCGGCGAAUGAAAUCAGUACGAUACCGACGUGCAUUCAGAUUUCGACACUACAGUCUACCUAUCACCUUACCUAAUAUGAAUCAUCUUUCGUUUUUUUUUUCCCCCUUAACGUGAUACUAUAUUUCCGUUUCAGUUCUGCGCAUCCUUGAUCCGAUCUUAUUGUAUAUUUUGUAAGCUACUUUAUUGGAUGGAAAAUUACGCUUCAGAGAUGUAUGAGUAACAAUCAAGUAUUAUCCGAGUACCGUUUGCCGGACAACGAGUUCCGUAUGCAACGUGAAUUCCACGCGGCUUCUUAUAUCACCUCGCCGCCGCCUCCGUGUCCUUGUCGCAGAUUAAACGCAACAAUUCGCAGAUAUCCUGACGCGUAGGAUAACUUCGCAACGGCGAUGGUAUCAAUUACUAGAAUACCGCUGCGGAGCUCGUCGCCGAUCAACUCCUUCCCAGAAGGUAACCCGCCGCGAUUAUCUUUAAUGGCAAACACCUUGACGGUGUGCCAGGCCGAGCGCGAGAUCGAGACCUCCGGGACAAGCGGCGCGGCACGGUUGAUCGCGAGGCGAUUCUUGAAAUCGCAAAGGCGGGGCCUCGGAUCGCGGGAAUCUAUCGGAGAGUUUCCCCCGCUGAGACCAAAUUGUGAGGCAGGUUUUAUUUUCCGCCUACAUUUUCUAUUUUAUCUUAUCUCGGGUUUAUAUAUCUUUAUCUUAUACACUCCUCCUAACAUCUGGACCUUUAUCUUUCUCUCAUCCGACUCCUCGAUUCACAUCACAAAGGGGGACUCAUUAUAAUCGAUAGAUACCUAUAGAUACUAUCGCGACCGGGUCCGCGAAAAUCAUGCUAUAUUAAAUUCUUAAUGAAAGAUUCUUAAAAUAACCUUCCGCGAGUGCACAGCUGGAAAUCAACGGUAUAGCCGGUGGGAGGAAAGAGAGAGAGAGAAAUAGAGUAAGAUGCCCGGCCAAUAAAUUCCACCGAUUAUUAAACAGGAUUCUGUGCCCGGCUUCUAAUAUACUGAUGUACCUCUGAAUGCGUCGUCCCAUUAAUCCGUUUCACUCGAAAAAAAGAAA